rnacentral:pre_miRNA from 1 species
AACUACACUAUUAAUGAAUGAGCCCACCUACAAGAUGACGUGGCUAUUUAUCUACAUAUAUUUUGGAUGCGGACGUGACAUCGUAGUUGUUCCACCUAGGAUAAAGCUCCAUGUCCAUAUCCUAGGUAGAACAACCACGUUAUCUUGCAGGUGGUCUAUUCUUUGAUAGUGUGGUU